rnacentral:rRNA from 1 species
GAUGGACGCUAGCGAUAGGCUUAACACAUGCAAGUCGAGGGGCAGCAUGGUCUUAGCUUGCUAAGACUGAUGGCGACCGGCGCACGGGUGCGUAACGCGUAUGCAACUUGCCUCACAGAGGGGGAUAACCCGUCGAAAGACGGACUAAUACCGCGUACACUUGGGAUAGGGCAUCCUGACCCAAGGAAAUGAAAUUCGCUGUGAGAUAGGCAUGCGUCCCAUUAGCUAGUUGGUGAGGUAACGGCUCACCAAGGCGACGAUGGGUAGGGGAACUGAGAGGUUGAACCCCCACACUGGUACUGAGACACGGACCAGACUCCUACGGGAGGCAGCAGUGAGGAAUAUUGGUCAAUGGGCGAGAGCCUGAACCAGCCAAGUCGCGUGAAGGAUGACUGUCUUAUGGAUUGUAAACUUCUUUUAUACGGGAAUAACAAGAGCCACGUGUGGCUCCCUGCAUGUACCGUAUGAAUAAGCAUCGGCUAACUCCGUG